rnacentral:piRNA from 1 species
UAAGAGAAUGAAGAGAGCAGCUUUCCAAU